rnacentral:rRNA from 1 species
UACGGAGGUGGCAAACGUUGUUCGGAUUGACUGGGUGUAAAGGGUGUGUAGGCGGGCUUUCAAGUCGGGUGUGAAACCCUACAGCUCAACUGUAGAACUGCACUUGAUACUGUUAGUCUUGAGUUCAGAAGAGGGAGAUGGAAUUCUUGGUGUAGCGGUGGAAUGCGUAGAUAUCAAGAAGAACACCGGUGGCGAAGGCGAUCUCCUGGUCUGAAACUGACGCUGAGGCACGAAAGCAUGGGGAG